rnacentral:rRNA from 1 species
GAUGAACGCUGGCGGCGUGCCUAACACAUGCAAGUCGAACGGUGCCUUCGGGCACAGUGGCGAACGGGUGCGUAACACGUGGAGGACCUGCCCUGGAGACGGGGAUAACCACUGGAAACG